UUCUUCUUCUCUCUUUCGAAAAUCUCUUCCGCCGCUGACCAAAGAGCCGCCACCAUUUCGUCUCUUCUCGACCAUCAAAACUAACGAUCGUCCGAUGUUCGUUGCGCACGUGCCAAGUCCAUUCGUGGCCCUAACCCGAGCCAACUUCUUUGCCUCCUCUUUGCAUCCGUUUGAGUUCACUCAAGGUCGCCGCGACACUCCUCACCUACAACUUCUCACGUCGCUAACUUGUUAGGUUGCGAACCAAAGGCCAAGUGUUGAUUUAAAGCUCGUCAUCAGUCAUAGAUCUCCAUUAUUCUUUGUAUGUUUAUAGUAAAUUUUUGUAAUGCAUCAUGGAGUAGUUAGAUGUGAUGAGAGUGAGGUUAAGAACUUGUGUUGAAAUUACCUCUUAAAACGAAAUCAUGUGUAUGUAACUUUUAAGCUGAUUGUGAACUUUACUGAAACUCUGAAACUGUUUGGAUAAGUGUGUGGUGAGACACACUUGCGACGUUGUCGAGUUUUGAAGUUAAGUUACAUAUAUAAGUGCAAAAUCUCUCCAUUUCAGGUUUGGUUAACUCAUAUUUUAGGGGAGAUGCUGCCGAAAUUUUUAAUGAAAUUUUUGAAAGGUAUUUUAUAAAUCUUAUCUUUGAAAAGGAUUGUUUAAGGGACUAGAUUCACACCACGAUCUAAGUUAGAGGGGAAAACUUAGAACGGGGUGUGACAACUCAACCCAACCCAUAUUUUAAGCUAACCCAAUCCACAAAAUAUGGGUUGGGUAGUCCAGAUUAUUCGGGUUGUCGGGUUAUUCUUACACCCCUACUCCAUUCCAAAGUCUUUUUUGGGUUCUAUCACUAAAAGUAAAAAUGCCAAAAAUUCCUUGCUGAAAUUGAAAAAUAUUUUGCUAAAAAUGAAAAAGGAGAAGCAAGUAGUCUUUUGACUACUUUAACUUCCAUGAGGUAUAAGGACAAUGGAAACAUAAGAGAUUACAUUAUAGAAAUGUCCAAUCUCGUUGGUAAAUUAAAGACACUUGAUAUCGAAAUAGAUGUAAAUUUACUCAUACAUUUGGUACUUAUCUUUAUUCCAGCAUAAUUCACUCAUUUAAGAUAAGUUAUAAUACUCAGAAGGAUAAAUGGAGUAUUAAUGAGCUUAUCUCACAAUGUGUGCGAGAAGAAGAUAGGAUUAAAAGAGAAAGGAUAGAAAGUGCUUACUUGACAACUAACUUUCAUGGUAAGAAGAAAAGGAAACCUAGAGAUGCUAUAGAAGGGACAUCUCAGCAGAAUAGAAAACUAGCUAUGGAGAAUCCUUGUCUUUUCUGCAAAAAAAAAAAAAAAAAGGUCAUCUCAAGAAAGAUUGUCCCAAGUAUGCGAAAUAGCGUGUAAAGAAAGGGUUGCUUGUGGAGUCGACCUCCAAAUGAUGCGGAAAGAUUCAUCUGUGUGGGCGAUCGCAAAGCAGUUUUAGUGAAGAUAUUGGCAGUUUUUUAGAUUACUUUUAAAAACUGGUUGUUUUUUGGAUUUGAAUGAGACUUUUAUUGUACCGUCAUUUAGAUGGAACUUAGAUUUUAUUUCUAGU